GAUGCUGCCCUGCCAGAGGAUGAGUCUGAAGUCAACGGCAACCAGCAAGACAACCCCACUGAAUCCUGUGCGUUCCUGAACACCCCCGUCAUGUGACCGCCCCACGGACCACCAGCUUGUUGCUACGACAACCUCACCUGGACACACCAAUAACCCACCCCUCUCUCUCCCCCUCUCUCUCCCCCUCUCUCUCUUUCUCCCCCUCUCUUCUCUCCCUCUCUUCUCUCUCUCUCCUGUCCAUUGUGUACCAGAAACCUGAAAUGGAAUGAACAAUGUUACCCUCUCAAAAGUUAUUGGAUGAUUACUUAAGACGCCAACCUUUCCUCAAAUAUGACUGGAUGAUCACAGUGGACAGCAUCCUGGCCUGUAACAUGAUUGGAUGAGCUACAUGCGAUCAAUCCUCUGAUUGGAUGGUCAUCAGCCUAUCAGAAAAGCCUGGAAAGAGAGCGAGGGACGGAGAAAGAAGUAGAAGAAAUGAAAGAAUGAAUUUAAGGAUGAAUUUAAGGAUGAAUUUAAGGAUGAAUUGCAGUUAAAAAAGGAGAAGACGGAAUGUUUGUUUCUGUUCUUCCUUUUCCCUAUGAUGAGAGAAAUCAUGUUUUUAUGUUUGUAAUAAAUCUCUCCCCUUCUCUUUCCAUCCCUCCAUCCUUCUCCAUCUCAUUCUCUUUUUCCAUCUCGCUUUCCCUCGCUCCAUCUCUUUGUGCGGAAGAGAAAUAAAUGUGUGACCUACCAUUGACCCCUGACCCCUGACCCCAGCCUAUCAGAGUGAAGACUGUUGUGUUGUUUAUUUGGUUGAUUUCUUUGUUGAUCCGAGCAGAGCAGCUUGAUAGAGUAGACAUGUUGCUUUUCUCUGUUACUGUAGGUGAAGUACAAGACAAUACACAGUUACUCUAC